UGGUGGAGUGAUUUGUCUGGUUAAUUCCGAUAACGAACGAGACCUCAGCCUGCUAAAUAGUAAAGGGAAUCUUCUAAAUGGGUGAAGUGGGGAUUUGGGUUGUACUAGUUGCAAUCUAGCCUUCAUGGAUCCUUGAAGAAUUUCCUUUUUAAACGUAAGUUUACUUCUUAGAGGGACAAUUCAUAUUUAGUGAAUGGAAGUUUGAGGCAAUAACA
rnacentral:rRNA from 1 species